ensembl:lncRNA
GAACCAAGAGAGACUGUGUAAAAGUGCAAAUUUCCAAUGAUGCAUGUCAUUAUAUUGUAUACCUAAAAUGUACCGAUAAAAUUAAUUUUUAAAAAGUAAGAUUUAUUUUCAAAAAAUCAGUCCAUGCUGAUGUAAAUGCCGUUAUCCAUGAAGGAUUUACAUGAGAAGACACACAGCUGAGAAUGUGAACAAGUUGUGUUUCAAAAUGGCACAAAUAAAUAAGAGAGGAUGCUCAGAAGAAGUGGCAAGAUACUGAAAUAGUACCCGAGACUGAUACUGAGAGAGGCCUGGGAAAAGGAGUGGGAAUCAGUGGUUUUGCAAUGGUGCGUGACUGCUUCCUGUGUAUUUUUAAAAUUUGGGGAGGGAAAGCAUCUGGUUGUCACAGUUGUCAGGGAUCCUCCAGUCUUGGCAAUAUAUAGGGAAGCGGCCCUCACCUGGCUGCUUUAGAGUUCCCAGGAAAUAGUCUCGUAUGAUGCUUAAUGCUAAUGACAAACUUCAUCUUACACAGUAGCCCAGGGUAUUCCUUUCAUGAUUCCAAUGCAUGUGGCUGCAUAUUAUAGGAAUGCAAGGAGCAGUUAUCUUGAAAAAAUAGUUUACUCUGGUUCACAGUUUCACUGCGUUGUUCGUGGCUUGAGAAGAUCACAUCACCCGUGACACUGCCUUUUCCUUGUCUGAGUUGGUGGUUCCUGCUCACGUUUCAGCUGCAGGGGAAAUCUGUGUAUUCAUGGUGUACAACUAUGCACAGGUACACUUAGGUCUAUUUUUAGAAUACCAGUUUUUUUAAAAAGUGUCAUAAUUUUUCAGUCAGACAGGUCUUCUCUGUAUGUGAGGCUGUCCUUUAUAAAUCGGUGCAGUGUAGUCCCCCUUUAUCCGCGUGUUUGCUUCUUGCAGUUUUAGACACCCACCACCACCAGCAGUCUGACAGUGUUAGCAAUUUCAGAAAGAAACGAUUCGUCAGUUUUAAACCAUGGGCUUCUCUGAGUAGCACAUCUGAGUCUCAUGUCAUCCACUUUGUCCUGUGUAGGACAUGCAUCACCCUUCUCUGCAGUGGCUCCGCACUGUACACACCACCUCCCCAACCUCUCCAGGGCUGGGUGAGCCUGCGUCACCCCAGGUUCAUGGUCAUCAGAAGGUCAGCGGCAUCCUGACACUGCAUCACGAUGCCUGUGUGCUUCGCCUCCCUGCAUCUCCUCACCUGGGUAUCGUAUCUCUCACACCAUCAGGGGAAGCCACCAUAGUAAUGCUCCCAGAACAAAGGAGGCUUCAGGGCUGCCCUGCCACUGCUCCCAGCACAGAGAAGGCUUCUGGGCUGCUGUAGCACCGCUCCCAGCACAGAGGAGGCUUCCGGGACUCUGUACCACCACUACCAGCACAAAGGAGAUGAGCCACACAGGUGCCAGCAGGACACACACACACACACACACACACACACACACACACACCAUCAAAAUGAGAAGACAGUAAAAAAGUCUCAAAACCAGACUUCUAGAUCACAUACAGCAAGCCCAAAAGAAAAUGAGAUGGAACAUUCUGAUACUCAACCACCUGGAUUCCCUGAAUGGGCAAAAGAGGAUCUGGAAAAAAUGAAAUCAGAAAUAAUUACUCAGAUAACAGCAGAGAUUGUGCUCACAGUGCAAGACAUGAAUAAUAAAUCUAGACAGGAGCUGAGGAACAUGACGGAAUCACAAAAUAGGAAACAAAUUGAGUCCAUAAAACAGAUGCAGACAGAUUUCCAGGAGAUUAAAAACUCCAUUGAGAGUCUACAUAGUAGAAUGAACCAAUGUGAGGACAGAAUUGCAGAUAUAGAAGAUAAGAUUGCAGCUGGGGAUUUAGUUCAGUGGUUUUGUCGCCUGCUGCGCAAGCUCAAGGACCUGAGUUUGAUCCCCGGUACCAACAACAAAAAAAAGAAGAUAAGAUUGCAAUUAGUGAACAGGAAAAGAAAAAUUGCUCUAAAUAGUAAGGGACCAUGAGAAAUCAAUCCAGCAGCUACUAGAUGAUACAAAGAAGAAUAACAUAAGACUGAUUGGAGUCAACUGAAGAAACAGGACAGAGUACAGACAACAUUAAAAACUGUUCACAGAAGUGAUGGCAGGAAACAUCCCAAGCAGGGCCAAAGAACUUGACAUACAGAUAAGUGAAGUAUAUAGGACUCCAAAUAGCCUUGAUCAAAAAAAAUCUACACAUAGGUAUAUAAUUGUCAAAAUUCCUGAAAUUCAACACAAGAGCAAAGUUCUACAAACAGAGAAAAGAAACAAAUCACAUACAAAGAAAAGCCCAACAGAAUCACAGCAGACUUCUCACCACAAACCCUCAAGAAAAGAAGACUUGGAGAGACGUAUUCCAAGCCCUAAAGGAAAACAGCUUCCAACCCAGAUUGAUGUAGCUUGCAAAACUAUCUUUUAAAAUUUAUUGAGAAAUAAGAUACUUUCAUGGCAAAGAGCACCUUAGGAACUUCAUGAAUACCAAACCAGCACUCCAAAAACUUUUAGACAAAAUCCUAGGAAAAGAUGAGGAUCACAACCCUAGGAAGCCCAGCAGAAUGAAUUCAUUGGGCAUGAUAAUUAAUUAAAAGCAAAGGGUGAGAAUCCAGCAAAAAGAAAAACUCAUGAAAUGAUAAGUCAAUACCAUAUCAGUUAUAACCAUCAAUGUUAAUGGUCUCAACUCACCAAUCAAAAGAAAUAAGACUGGGAGAAUGGAUCAAGAAGCAAGAUCCAUCAAUAGGCUGCAUACAUGAAACACAAUUCAAAAAGAAACUCAUAGACUAAAAGUUAAAGGGUGGAAAACAAUAUUAGAUGUGACAGGAACCCGGAAAAAGAAGGGGUCACUAUCUUCUUUGCAAAUCAAACUAGAUUUAGAGAGACAAAGAAGGACACUACACCCUUGUGAAAGGAACAAUCCAAGAGGAAGAGAUGACAAUCAUAAAUAUCUAUGCACCAAAAACUAGUGUGCCCAAAUAUAUAAAACAAAUACUAACAGACAUAAAAAAAUCAUAAAAGCACUAAUACAACAGUAGUGGGGGACCUCAAUACCCCACUGUGACAAAGAGAUCAACUAGACAAAAAACAAGCAAUGAAAUACUAGAACUGAAAUUUUUGAACAAAUGAAUUUAACAGAUAUUUACAGAGUGUUCCACCUCACAAAAUCAGAAUACACAUUCUUCUCAGCUGCACACAGGUCAAUCUCCAAAAUACACCCCAUACUCAUCAUAGAACUUAUUUAGGUAAGUGCAAAGAAACUGAAGUUAUCCCCUGUAUAUUAUCAGACCAUAAUGCAGUGAACUUGGAGAUCAAUAGAAAAGAAACCACAAAAAUUUCACAAACACAUGGAAAUUGAACAACACACUUUUGAAUAACCAAUGGGUCACAGAGGAAAAUAAAGAAGAAAUCAGACAGUUCCUUCAAUUAAUGACAAUGACAGCACAACAUAUCAGAAUAUAUGGGACACAAUGAAAGCAGUCUUAUGAGGGAAAUUCAUAGUAGUGAAUAUGCAUAUUAGGAAAACAGAACGAGCCCAAUUAAACAACCUGAUGCUGAACCUUAAGCUUCUAGAAAAAGAAGAGUAGGACAAACCCAAAGCUCAUACAAGGGAGGAAAUUAUAAAGCUCAGAGCAGAAAUCAAUGCAAUGGAGACUAAGAGAACAAUACAGAAAAAUCAAUUAAGCCAAGAGUUGGUUCUUUGAAAGAAUAAACGAAAGUGACAAAUCCAUAGCCAACCUUAUCAGAAAAAGGAAAGAAAAGGCCCAAAUGCUGUUAGGAAUGAAAAGGAUGAAAUUACAAUGGACCUAGCAGAAAUCCAGAAGAUCAUCAAUAUCUACUUUAAGAACCUAUAUGCCAAUAAGAUGGAAAACACAGAAGAAAUAGACAGACUCCUAAAUACGUAUGAAUUACCAAAGUUGAAUGAAGAAGACCUAAAAAUUCUAAGUAACCCAAUAUCAAUCAAUGAAAUUGAAAAUGUAAUUAAAAAUUUACCAACUAAGAAAAGCCCGGGUUCUCAGAAUAGCAAAAUCAAUUCUAGGAAACAGAGACAUGGCAGAGGGCAUCACAAUCCCCAACUUGAAACUAUACUACAAAGCUACUGUGAUAAAAACAGCAGGAUACUAGCAAAGAAACAGACCCGAGGACCAGUGGAACAGAUUAGAAGAUGCAGAAACAAUGCCAGACACCCUCAGCCAUCUCAUCUUCAAUAAAGGAGCCAAACACCCUCACUGGAGGAAAGAUAGCCUCUUUAAUAAAUGGUGCAGGAAAAAUUGGGUUUCAACUUGGCAAAGAUUAAAACUAGACCUGUAUCUCUCACCAUACACUAAAACUAAAAUCGAAAUGGAUUAAAUAUCUAAAUAUUAAAAUAGAAAAGAAACUCCAAAAACUUCAUAAACACAUGGAAAUUUAUGAAUACUUUUGAAUAACCAAUGGGUCACAGAGGAAAUUGAAGAAAUCAGACAGUUCCUUCAAUUAAAUGGCAAUUACAAUACAACAUAUCGGAAUCUAUGGGACACAAUGAAAGCAGUCUUAUGAGGGAAAUUCACAGCAGUGAAUGUGCAUAUUAGGAAAACAGAAUGAGCCCAAUUAAAUAACCUGAUGCUGAACAUCAAGCUUCUAGAAAAAGAAGAGCAGGACAACCCCAAAGCUCAUACAAGGGAGGAAAUUAUAAAGAUCAGAGAAGAAAUCAAGGCAAUGGAGACUAAGAGAACAAUACAAAAAAUCAAUGAAGCCAAGAGUUGGUUCUUUGAAAGAAUCAACAAAAUUGACAAAACCUUAGCCAACCUUGUCAGAAAAAGGAAAGAAAAGGCCCAAAUCCAUGCAAUUAGAAAUGAAAAGGGUGAAACUACAACAGACCCAGCAGAAAUCCAGAGGAUCAUCAGUACCUACUUCCAGAACCUAUAUGAUAAUAAGAUGGAAAACACAGAAGAAAUGGACAGAUUCUUAGAUAUGUAUAAAUUAUCAAAGUUGAACGAAGAAGACCUAAAAAUUCUAAACAACCCAAUAAAAUCAAUGGAAUUGAAAACAUAAUUAAAAAUUUGCCAACUAAGAAAGCCUAGGUCCUGAUGGCUUCACUGCUGAAUUCUACAAGACAUUUAGAGAGGAACUACUGUCACCACUGUUUAAACUCUUGAAUGAAAUUGAAAGGGAAGCAGUACUCCCGAAUUCAUUCCUGGAAGCAAACAUCACCUUGAUCCUCAAAGCAAAGAAAGAACUAUAAACUGAAAAAGAGAACUAUAGGCCAAUCUCACUAAUGAACAUAGAUGCAAAAAUCCUUAAUAAGAUACUGGAAAAUAGAAUGCAGAAGAUCAUCAAGAAGAUCAUACACCUUGACCAAGUGGGACUCAUCCAAGGGAUGCAGGGAUUGUUCAACAUAUGCACAUCAAUCAGUGUAAUACACUAUAUCAGUAGAGCCAGGGACAAAAUCUCAAUAGAUGCAGAAAAAGCAUUUGAAAAAAUCCAACAUUCAUUCAUGAUAAAAACCCUACAAAAAAUUGAAAUAGAUGGUUUCUACCUCAAUCUGAUAAAAGCCAUCAGUGAAAAAUCAACAGCCAAUAUCAUACUAAAUGGUCAAAAACUGAAAUCCUUCACACUAAAAUCAGGAACAAGACAAGGAUGUGCACUGUCACCACUCCUGUUUAAUACAGUUUUUGAAACAUUAGCCACAGCAAUUAGAAAAGAGAAAGAAAAGGAAUAAAUUUAGGAAAUAAAGAAGUCAAAUUGUCAUUGUUUGCAGAUGACAUGAUACUCUAUAUAGAAGACCCCAAGAACUCCACAAAAAGUCUUUUAGACUUAAUAACCAAAUUCAGUAAAGUAGCUGGAUAAAAGAUCAACACACAAAAUUCAAUAGCUUUCCUCUACAUGAACAACCGACUCACUGAGAAACAGGGCCAACAAUUCCUUUCAAAAUAGCAUCCAAAAAGAUGAAAUACCUAGGAAUCAGACAAACAAAAGAAAUCAAAGAUCUCUCCUCUCAAAAACUAUAGCACUCUGAAAAGAGAGAUUGAAGAGGAUAUUGGAAAAUGGAAAGACAUCCCUUGAUCCUGGGAAGGAAGAACUAACAGUGAAAAUGUCCUUACCUACAAAACUGCUAUAUAGAUUCAAUGCUAUCCCACUUGAAAUUCCAGCAGCAUACCUCAUGGACCUUGAGAAAACAAUCAAAAAAUUCAUUUGGAACAAGAAGAGACACUGAAUACCAAAAGCAAUAGUAGACAACAGAGACAUGGCAGGGGGUAUCGCAAUCCCCAAUUUGAAAUUGUACUACACAGCCACCAUGAUAAAAACAGCAUAGUACUGGCAAACAAACAGACUUGAGGAUAAGUGGAACAGAUUAGAAGAUGCAAAAACAACUCCAGACACCCUCAGCUACCUCAUCCUCAACAAAGGAGCCAACCACCCUGACUGGAGGAAAGAUAGCCUCUUUAAUAAAUGGUACUGGAAAAACUGGGUUUCAACUUGCCAAGGAUUAAAACUAGACCUAUAAAAAGUAUAAAGAAUCAAAAUGUAUAAUUGAUACUGUGAAAUAGGAAGAAAAUGUCUAAAGGAAUAGGGGAAGAGGGAGGGGAAGGGGAAAGGAAAGAAGGGAAAAGAAAAAAUAUGAGAAAAGGGGAUGCCAUACCAAGGUUGUGAGUCACACGGAACACACUGAAUCAGCUUGUGCCCCAGCAGCAAUCCACCCCCUGGCCUCUCCCGCUCCUCUGGCCUCUUCUCUGUACAGCCACCCAGUUCCACGCUACAAAGACGCAGAGGACACCAGACCACCAGACCACUGUACUGGCUAAGUUGGAGUCAUCUUCACCUCCCAUCAGUACCGGGACUAUCUUCAGGGAAAGGGCAGCUGGAACCUGCAAUACAGCUCUGCAGAGUUCAACCCUACAGGAGGACAGGGAGCUCAACUUCGGACUUGCAGACAGAAAUCUGCCUGAAUCUCAUGGGUCUGCGACUAGCUGAGAUUCAUUGACUUAUACCAGCACACUGCUACCCACAUUGUCUACUGUGACAGCAGAGACAUACCCUAAAAGAGGCCCUUCAUUUUCAUUGUUAUUUUUUAUUCCCAAAAUUAGUAUUAUCGGGGGUUUUUUCCUCUCUUAUUUUCUUUUGCUC